GCAGGCCGAUGCUAAAAACAGUGAGGCCCCGUGAGAAAGUGAGCUCGCAGCGUGUAACUGUGAUGGAUUUGUGUGUGAAAUGAAUCAGUAUUAGGGGCAGCAGACAGGAGCAGUGGAGCUGUGUGCCGUCGGAUAGUUUUUGCAGUUUCCGUCCUGGUUUGUGAGACGCUGAAGUGGACCAUUGAUUCUUGAUUCUCCUCUUGACGAAGGAGCUUGCCAGCCACCCUGGGACGUCAUCAUUCCUCAUUCUUGAGGAUGGAAACAUCUCGUCCUUCACUUUCUCAUUUCGAUGACACCAUAUCACGUUUGAGUCUGAGCAGCGUGGCGGUGGUUGGGGAGCAGUAGAUGGGCC